GAUGAAGAACGUAGCGAAAUGCGAUAAGUAAUGUGAAUUGCAGAAUUCAGUGAAUCAUCGAAUCUUUGAACGCACAUUGCGCCCGCCAGUAUUAUGGCGGGCAUGCCUGUCUGAGCGUCAUUUCAACCCUCAUGCCCCUAGGGCGUGGUGUUGGGGAUCGGCCAAAGCCCGCGAGGGACGGCCGGCCCCUAAAUCUAGUGGCGGACCCGUCGUGGCCUCCUCUGCGAAGUAGUGAUAUUCCGCAUCGGAGAGCGACGAGCCCCUGCCGUUAAACCCCCAACUUUCCAAGGUUGACCUCAGAUCAGGUAGGAAUACCCGCUGAACUUAAGCAUAUCAAUAAGCGGAGGA
rnacentral:misc_RNA from 1 species